rnacentral:tRNA from 1 species
GCUCCCUUCGUCUAGUGGCCUAGGACGUCGCCCUCUCACGGCGAAAACAUGGGUUCGAAACCCAUAGGGAGCG